rnacentral:lncRNA from 1 species
UUUUUUUUUUAAGAUUUAUUUAUUUAUUUAUUUAUUUGACAGAGAGAGAGACAGCCAGCGAGAGAGGGAACACAAGCAGGGGGAGUGGGAGAGGAAGAAGCAGCCUCCCAGCAGAGAAGCCUGAUAUGGGGCUCGAUCCCAGAAUGCUGGGAUCACGCCCUGAGCCGAAGGCAGACGCUUAACGACUGUGCCAUCCAGGCACCCCUGCAUGGUUUUUUUCUAAUAUUGUCCUCACUGAAAAAAGAACCGAGAGGGGGUGACAUGCCAAGCAGCCACGUAGGAGCCCGUGUGGAAGAGGACAAAUCCCCAUUCUGCUCAUGAGUCAGCCACUCCGUCAAGACGAAAGUUAGAAACAAAGCAGAUUUGGGAGGCUACAAUCAAGGUCAUUUGAGAAGUAGGACCCAGUGUAUUACCAUUACCUAUGGGCAUCCACAAAGAAAUUUACAGACGUGGGAAAGGCUAGAUAAUGAGAAUGCUCCAUAAGGAGGCACUGAAUUUCACCAGGGAGAAAUGCAUCUAAGUUGCUUCACAAACGUUAAGAAAUAUACCUACAU